CCACUGUUGAAUAGGCCUGCUGGCCGCAGCCAACUUCUUGUAUCAAGAGCCUGGUAUUCAGUUGCCCCAGAGACCCGACAUAUCAAAGUCUCCUCUCUCCGCUCCUGUCUCCUCGAUGGUAUAGGAAUGUCAUAGCAGUUAUCGAAUCUAUCAGUGGUUGCAAGCAGAAGAAACUGUCCCACGGGUGCCAUCUCCCGAGUCCCAGAGUGUAUCUCCAAGCACAGACCAAGCUUCUUGUUUGCGCACUUAACUACUCCUUGAUAUUUUUUUGGACCUGGCUAUCUUUAAUCCCCCUUGAGAGAGCAGUUGGGUUUCACUUACCCCCCUUUAAAAAAGGAAUGUUGAUACCUCCUAUUUAACAUUCAAAACAUCGAGAAACUCCCUGGUUUUGGGAAAUUUGCUAUUUUCUUGAUAUGUCUUGGUGCAUUUUCCAUUGUUAAUGGGGAUAGAAGGA
rnacentral:sRNA from 1 species